rnacentral:rRNA from 1 species
AUUGAACGCUGGCGGCAGGCCUAACACAUGCAAGUCGAACGAGUGGCGGACGGGUGAGUAAUGUCUGGGCAACUGCCCGAUGGAGGGGGAUAACUAAUGGAAACGGUAGCUAAUACCGCAUACCAUCGGAUGUGCCCAGAUGGGAUUAGCUAGGAGGUGGGGUAAUGGCUCACCUAGGCGACGAUCCCUAUCUGGUCUGAGAGGAUGACCAGCCACACGUGAACUGAUACACGGUCCAGACUCCUACGGGAGGCAGCAGUGGGGAAGAUUGCACAAUGGGCGCAAGCCUGAUGCAGCCAUGCCGCGUGUAUGAAGAAGGCCUUCGGUUUGUAAAGUACUUUCAGCGAGGAGGCGUUACUCGCAGAAGAAGCACCGGCUAACUCCGUGCCAGCAGCCGCGGUAAUAC